rnacentral:tRNA from 1 species
AUCAGUAUGGUGUAGUGGUUUGAGCACUAGACUGUGACUCUGGAGACCAGGUUUUGAAUCCCUGCUCAGCCA